rnacentral:rRNA from 1 species
UACGAAGGGGGCUAGCGUUGUUCGGAAUUACUGGGCGUAAAGCGCACGUAGGCGGAUAGUUAAGUCGGGGGUGAAAUCCCGGGGCUCAACCCCGGAACUGCCUUCGAUACUGGCUGUCUGGAGGUCGAGAGAGGUGAGUGGAAUUCCGAGUGUAGAGGUGAAAUUCGUAGAUAUUCGGAGGAACACCAGUGGCGAAGGCGGCUCACUGGCUCGAUACUGACGCUGAGGUGCGAAAGCGUGGGGAGCAAACAGG